UUACUGUUAGUGUUGUUGCCGGUGCAGCUGCUUCUGGUGCUGCUGGGUUGGUGGAUGGGUGGGUUGGUUUUGCGAUAGCGAAUUGGUGUCGGCAAUCAGGAAAAACUGCUCUCGAGUUAAUGAGACGAAAUACUAACUCAGGUACUCGAAAAAAGAACUAGAUAAGAAAAGAUGAGAAAAA
rnacentral:lncRNA from 1 species